CACCACCAACCAGCGUAAAUUAGAAUGUUUCUUCAAGACACAAGAUUCAUGACAUUACUGUUGGCCGCAUCACCAUCGUCACUAUCUUUAUUCACACCAAUACUGCGAAAAAAAAAGAAAAAAAAAACACAUAUCGUGUCACCAUUGUCACCAUCUUCGUUUAUGUAAAACUUGUAGAAAAACCAUACCCUAAUCACCACCAUUGUCACCAUCUUCAUUCAUGCGAAACCUACUGAUAAACCAAACCUAUUGCGAUUGGGGAAGAUGGAUUCAUAAAAUUUUCAUUCUGACUUUAAAAACAUGGUGGUGUAGUGCCAAACAACUUGAUUUCAUGUUUCAAUUUCG
rnacentral:lncRNA from 1 species